rnacentral:rRNA from 1 species
UACGUAGGGUGCGAGCGUUAAUCGGAAUUACUGGGCGUAAAGCGUGCGCAGGCGGUUUUGUAAGCCAGAUGUGAAAUCCCCGGGCUUAACCUGGGAAUGGCAUUUGGGACUGCAAGGCUUGAGUGCGGCAGAGGAGACUGGAAUUCCCGGUGUAGAGGUGAAAUUCGUAGAUAUCGGGAGGAACACCAGUGGCGAAGGCGGCGAUCUGGGCUGAUACUGACGCUGAGGUGCGAAAGCGUGGGGAGCAAACAGG